AUUGAACGCUGGCGGCAUGCCUUACACAUGCAAGUCGAACGGUAACGGGCCUUCGGGUGCCGACGAGUGGCGAACGGGUGAGUAAUACAUCGGAACGUGCCCGAUCGUGGGGGAUAACGAGGCGAAAGCUUUGCUAAUACCGCAUACGAUCUACGGAUGAAAGCAGGGGACCGCAAGGCCUUGCGCGGACGGAGCGGCCGAUGGCAGAUUAGGUAGUUGGUGGGAUAAAAGCUUACCAAGCCGACGAUCUGUAGCUGGUCUGAGAGGAUGAUCAGCCACACUGGGACUGAGACACGGCCCAGACUCCUACGGGAGGCAGCAGUGGGGAAUUUUGGACAAUGGUCGCAAGCCUGAUCCAGCCAUGCCGCGUGCAGGAUGAAGGCCUUCGGGUUGUAAACUGCUUUUGUACGGAACGAAAAGCCUUCUUUUAAUACAGGAGGGUCAUGACGGUACCGUAAGAAUAAGCACCGGCUAACUACGUG
rnacentral:rRNA from 1 species